rnacentral:rRNA from 1 species
UUCGGUCCCUAUCUGCCGUGGGCGCUGGAGAAUUGAGGGGGGCUGCUCCUAGUACGAGAGGACCGGAGUGGACGCAUCACUGGUGUUCGGGUUGUCAUGCCAAUGGCACUGCCCGGUAGCUAAAUGCGGAAGAGAUAAGUGCUGAAAGCAUCUAAGCACGAAACUUGCCCCGAGAUGAGUUCUCCCUGAGACUUUAAGUCUCCUGAAGGAACGUUGAAGACGACGACGUUGAUAGGCCGGGUGUGUAAGCGCAGCGAUGCGUUGAGCUAACCGGUACUAAUGAACCGUGAGGCUUAACCUU